UACGAAGGGUGCAAGCGUUAAUCGGAAUUACUGGGCGUAAAGCGCGCGUAGGUGGUUCAGUAAGUUGGAUGUGAAAUCCCCGGGCUCAACCUGGGAACUGCAUCCAAAACUGCUGAGCUAGAGUACGGUAGAGGGUGGUGGAAUUUCCUGUGUAGCGGUGAAAUGCGUAGAUAUAGGAAGGAACACCAGUGGCGAAGGCGACCACCUGGACUGAUACUGACACUGAGGUGCGAAAGCGUGAGGAGCAAACAGG
rnacentral:rRNA from 1 species